ACUGCACAUUUUUUCACCCUUCCUUUGUUGGGGGAAGACGUAUCUUUGUUCUCCUCCAGAAAGCAAUCUCCGUUAUGAACAGGACUAUGGAUAUUUGUAACAAUUAAGGAUUAUUGCCUGCCUGAUCUUCAUCACGGUAUCUGUUGAAUUCUGGCAAGAUUUUGAUGUGAGUAAACCUUGUGUUUUUCUUGUCUACCUAGGAGACUGAGAGUGAUUUCUUUGUCAAGAGGGAACAUAAAACAGGAAAAAGAUAAUCCAAGCCUGCCUAAAAUAUCCUUGGAUAUCAGAAUUGCUCUCGAAGGUUAAGCAAACUUGUCCUUAUAGCUUCUAGAGAUAAGCUGCACACGGAUGGCGAUUUUUAACUCUGCUGAAAUAGAUAUCUGCAUUCUCGCAUAACUGAGAAAGAGGAAGUAUAAUUAUUCAAUGAAAUAUCCUCUCCUAUUCAUCUAAAUCCAUUCAACAAGGAGGAAGGAUGGGAUAUAAAGGAAUUCAAUCAAUCAAUCAAUAGUGUAUACAGUGUGUGUAAGGUAAAGGUAAAGGGACCCCUGACCGUUAGUCCACUUGUGGACGACUCUGGGGUUAUGGCACUCAUCUCGCUUUACUGGCCGAGGGAGCCGACGUUUGUCUGCAGACAGCUUUCAGGUCAUGUGGCCAGCAUGACUAAGCCACUUCUGGUGAACCAGAGCAGCGCAUGGAAACACCGUUUACCUGCCCGCCAGAGCGGUACCUAUUUAUCUUCUUGCACUUUGACAUGCUUUCGAACUGCUAGGUUGACACACAGUUCCAAAUUCAGUCGCUUUGUUUCUCCCUUGGAAGUUCCUUGGAACCAACACUUUUAAUAAUUAUAAUUUAUUAUUUAUACCCCGCCCAUCUGGCUGAGUCUCCCCAGCCACCAUGGGCGGCUCCCAAUCAAAAGUUAAAAACAGUACAGCAUUAAAUAUUAAAAACUUCCCUGAACAGGGCUGCCUUCAGAUGUCUUUUAAAGACAGGAUAACUGCUUAUUUUCUUCACAUCUGAAGGGAGGGUGUUCCACAGGGUGGACGCCACUACUGAGAAGGCCCUCUGUCUGGUUCCCUGUAACCUCACUUCUCACAAUGAGGGAACUGCCAGAAGGCCCUCGGCGCUGGAUCUCAGUGUCUGGGCUGAACGAUGGGGGUGGAGACGCUCCUUCAGGUAUACAGGACCGAGGCCAUUUAGGCCUUUAAAGGUCAGCACCAACACUUUGAAUUGUGCUCGGAAACGUACUGGGAGCCAAUGCAGAUCUCUCAGGACUGGUGUUAUGUGGUCCCAGUGGCCACUCCCAGUCACCAGUCUAGCUGCUGCAUUCUGGAUUAAUUGCAGUUUCUGGGUCACCUUCAAAGGUAGCCCCACGUAGAGUGCAUUGCAGUAGUCCAAACGGGAGAUAACUAGAGCAUGCACCACUCUGGCGAGACAGUCUGUGGGCAGGUAGGGUCUUAGCCUGCGUACUUAGUCUUUUAUUAGACUAACAGAUUAUUUACAGCAUGGCUCACUCCCUUAGAGCUUAGGGUCAUCACCUGGAAUCAGUUCCCCUUCUAACAUCUUGCCCCAGAGAAUGAGGUCCUGCCAACAGGGGCAUAAGCAAGAGACUGUGUUGAGGGCCAUCUCUGGGUUUCCCCCCACCCCUCCUAAGAUGAUGAACUGCCUGUCUUGGAGGAAAAGGGGAGAUGGUGGUGGUCAUCCAAAAAACGAGUCAUAUUAACAUGCAAGGCGACGGGUGAGUGGGGGGAGGGGAUGGCAGGGAGAGGAGGAGGGGAGACGAGUUUUCAUUUUCAACUUGUCAGGAUUGGUGAAAUGAAUUACCGAACGAAACCGCUGAAUGACAGAAUAAUGAGUUGUUCAUUUGAAAUGUAAAAUAAAUAGGUAAAUCUCUCCAGUGACCAGGCAGGAUAAAUGGCGCUGGGGUGACAGUAGGUGAUUAAAUUAAACAGUAAUGAACUCAUGAGGGAUGGGGCUGCCGGAUUGGAUUUUGAGGGCAAUCUCUUUGUAAGCCUGGGGAUUUAGGCUAUAAAUUAUAACACACAUCACACUUGCGCGCGCACACACACAGAGCUAUUCUUCGACACAACAACAUUGAGAGAAACAGGCUUUUCUGGAACUUGAUCUUUCACCAUCAUGCUGAACUUUGGAGGAACUGAACUGCAGCUCUUGAGGUCAUGACUCUCAUGCCAAUUCACUGCAGAAUAGUGGGAAUAAUUCCUUCUAUUUCCAGUGUACACAGUGUGUGUCCUCUAUUCAUUAAAUAGCCAAAAUGGCAGCAGCCACUCACAAGACAGAGGUAUUACUAGGCUCAGAGGGCUCUCAAGGUUAGUGUAAAUGCAAAAAAGAAAAUAUGGGGAGGGGGGAGAGACCCUAAUAGGAAUGGUUUUCUGCCCUGUCCUCCAAUAGCACUUUGAGCAUGUUCAGUCACCAUGGAAUGCAGAUUGAUCAUGGGAGGAAAUGGAAAGUGAGUCAGGGGGGAAAUGGAAUGAAGGACCCUUAAGGAGAUCUCUGCCGGAUCAGACCAGUGGCUGUCAGGGACUGGACAGAGCAGGGGGAGGAAUGGUGGAUACUCCCUCCUCAGCCUGAACCUUCUAGAGAAGAGGGAGACGUAUAGAUUUGAAACAGUGGUUUGCAGAAAGUCACAGCUCAGAGGCUGCAGAGGGGAGAAGCUGGGAAAUAUUGGGAGAGGAGCAGGGACAAUAAUAAGGACAAGGGGAGAGACAGCUGACAGUGUCUUUAGCAAGCAUGUCAGACCCCCCCUCCCAGAACCUAGUGGGCAUUGAAAGUAGGAGAGCAGAAAGCUCAGAGGCAGAAAGCACAGAUACGCCAACGUAGGGAUGACGUAUAAUAGAAGAGACGGAGGGGGUGGGGCUCCACUUGGAGCAAUGCCAUGACCACAAAGGGGCAGCUUUUCUAAGCCUCUCUCUGUGAAUAUUGAAUAAAAGACUUGGUAAGAGCUCUCCUUGUUUACCUAUUCCUGACUUCCUACCGUGGGAGGGAUCGGAUUCCCUGGUGCUUGACAGUGGCCCAUCGAGUCCAACAUCCUGUUCUCGUAGUAGUCAACCAGAUGCCCGUUAUGGGAAGCCCAUAAGCAGGACCUGAGCACAAGAGCACUCACUUUUCUUGUGGUUUCCAGCAGCUGGUAUUCAUAAGGAUUACUGCCUCUGACCAUGGAGGAAAGAAAUAACCAUCUUAGCUAGUAACCACUGAUAGCUUUCUCCUCCAUGAAUUUCUCCAAUCCUCUUUCGAAGCCAUCCAAGUUGGUGGCCAUCACUGCCUCCCGUGGCAGCAAGUUCCUUAGUUUAGCUAUGCUCUGAGAAAAGGAGAACCUUCAGCUUCAUUGGAAGUCCAUGAAUUCUAGUACUAUGAGAGAGGAAGAAAAACUAUUCUCUAUUAAUCUACAGUGGUACAGUGGUACCUCUGGUUGUGAAUGGGAUCCGUUCCGGAGGCCCAUUUGCAACAUGAGAAGAGCACAACCCGCAGCGGUGCAUCUGCGCAUGCGCAGGUUGCGAUUCGCCGCUUCUGCGCAUGCACGUGACGUCCUUUUGCGCCUCUGUGCAUGCACGAGCAGCGAAAUCUGGAAGUAACCCUUUCCGGUACUUUCGGGUCGCCGCGGGACAUAACCUGAAAGAACGUAACAUGAAGCAGACGUAACAUGAGAUAUGACUGUACCUUGGUUCUCAAACACCUUGGUACUCACACACCUUGGUUCCCAAACGCUGAAAACCCGGAAGUAAGUGUUCCGGUUUCCGAACGUUUUUUGGAAGCCGAACGUCCAAUGUGGCUUUUGGAUAUUGUUUCUGGGGCACCUGCACCAAACAGAAGCUGCGCGUGGGUUUUUGAACCUUUCGGAAGUCAAGGGGACUUCUGGAAUAGAUUAAGUUUGGCGCUUUGGUUUUGGAACGGACUUACGGAAUGGAUUAAGUUUGAGAACCAAGCUACCACUGUGUUAAUUAAUCUCCAACCAUGCUCUCCAUGCUGGUUAAUCAUUCCAUAAACUUCAACCUUGCCGUUCCUCGCUUGGUGGCCUCCUACCAAACGCAUAAGGCCAAAGCUCAACUUCAAUAAUAUCCAUGGUGCUCAUUCCCAGACCUGUUCUCCCCCCCCCCCAAUUCUCCUUCACUCCGGAGCACUUUCUCUCCAGAUGGCUGGCAUUAUCCAGGCUUUAAUAGGGGAUUAUGUGAUCAAAGCUAUCAGGAUAAUAGCGGCUGCUGCCUCUGCAGUCCCCAGUUCCAAACAUCUCCUUGCCUUCAGCAGUGGAAGGCAAACCCAGGGAGGCCCCCUAAUCCGGCAGUAACAAAUUAAAGUGCAUUACUGUCCUGAGGUGCCCCCUUUGGGAGGGCUGCUUUGACAACCUCCCCGAGGGGCAAAAGUUGUGCUCUGGUCCUGCUUAUGGGAUUCCCACCAGGGCCUCUGACUGGCCACCAUGAGAACAGGAGGAUGGACUUAAUGGGCCAUUGGCCUGAUCCAGCAGGCUCUUCUUAUGUUCCCCCAUUGAGGUAUCUGGUUGGUCACCAUGAGAACAGGAGGAUGGACUCAAUGGGCCAUUGGCCUGAUCCAACAGGCUCUUCUUAUGUUCCCCCAUUUAGGCAUCUGGUUGGUCACCAUGAGAACAGGAGGAUGGACUCAAUGGGCCAUUGGCCUGAUCCAACAGGCUCUUCUUAUGUUCCCCCAUUGAGGCAUCUGGUUGGUCAUCAUGAGAACAGGAGGAUGGACUCAAUGGGCCAUUGGCCUGAUCCAACAGGCUCUUCUUAUGUUCCCCCAUUGAGGUAUCUGGUUGGUCACCAUGAGAACAGGAGGAUGGACUCAAUGGGCCAUUGGCCUGAUCCAACAGGCUCUUCUUAUGUUCCCCCAUUGAGGUAUCUGGUUGGUCACCAUGAGAACAGGAGGAUGGACUCAAUGGGCCAUUGGCUUGAUCCAACAGGCUCUUCUUAUGUUCCCCCAUUGAGGUAUCUGGUUGGUCAUCAUGGGCCAUUGGCUUGAUCCAACAGGCUCUUCUUAUGUUCCCCCACUGAGGCAUCUGGCUGGCCACCAUGAGAACAUGAGGGUGGACAUCUGGUUGGUCACCAUGGGAACAGGAGGAUGGACUCAAUGGACCAUUGGCCUGAUUCAGCCGGCUCCUCUUUUGUCCUUGACCUGAAGGUAUGGCACUCGGUGUAGAAAUCCUGGGUUGUCUCCCAUGGAGUAGGAGUUGACUCAGUGAAAUUAAGGAACCCAAGUUAGUCAUGUCCAUUCACAUCAAGGGCAACAUCAUUGGGAAUUAUAAGUGGACAGAGAACUAUUAAGCUCCUAUCCACCUUGAGGGCUUCCCAUUUGGUUGGCCAACUUGAAAACAGGAUACUUGGGCCCUUGAUCCCCUUCAUCUGCCAGGCUCUUCGCUAGGUUUCUAUGCCUAGGAGUGUAUUUAAUUUUUUCACCUGGGGGAGCAUUCAGAUGUGCAAUUUCCCGAUUCCCCCACUUGCUGCCACCUGAAGUGGAGCCAUCCCUUGAGUUCACACCACCUGGUUUCUCUGAAUUUGUCACCUGGCUCUGAUUUCCCUUUGGAUGCGAAUAAUCCCCCUUGCCCCUAAGAACACAGCUUCUUUCCACCCCUCUUCCCCCACUGGAGCAGGGAGGCUGAAAUUCAAUUUUCUGCCGCAAUCCAUGGCUGUGCCAGCAAUCGACUCCCUCCCCACAAUUUCCCCACUGCCCUCUGCACUGUUGGCACCCAAGGGCCUUGAAUUUGCUAUUUUAUCAUCCAGACCGAGACCGAACCGACAGCGGCGGAGACAGCCAGUUUGUUACAAGAAAGCCAUCAGAGGCCAUGAGCAGGCAGGCAGGCGCCGGAAUGAGAGAGAGAGAGAGCUGGGGAAAGGCAAGGCAGGCGUUAGGAUUCAAUCUCGGCUCUCAUUUCUCAGUGGGAAACCAGCCAGAAUCUUUUCAGCCCUCCAAGUAGAGGAGGGGAGGAGGCCAAGAGGAGUUGGGGGGGUGCCUCUAGUGGGUUAAGUUUUUACUUUCUUUCCUCCCUGCUUCUCUGACACAAAUCCAACGUGCCUCAUUGAUUUUCUGUUGGGCCCUGACUGGGCUCAGCAAUAUCAAAUUACUCCUGCUUCCUAGGCUGAGUUAUUGCCAGCCUGCUUCCAGUUAAGGAGGGAGGCUCCGAGGAGGAGAGAGAAUGAGUUUUCCUCCUUUGGACAGGUCCAGGGUCCAGGGUCCACAACCUGAUUGGUCUCCAGGAGCAGAGCCAUUCCAUGUCCCAACAGAACAUUCCAACAGAACAUUCCAUGACAUCACAGAAGCCAAGCUAAUGGGAAAGGAGCUGGUGGGGUGUAGCAGAAAGAGGGUUCAACUAAGACCUGGCAAACCAGGUGAAUGGUGUAGCAGAAAGAGGGAUCGACUAAGACCUGGCAAACCAGAUGAAUGGCCACUCCGCCAUGAAAUUCAUUGGGUGCCACUGGGUCAGUGACUGCCUCUCAGCCUAACCUACCUCAAAGGGUUGUUGUGGGGAUGAGAUGAUGAGGUGCACAGCCAUGUACCCCAUCCUGAGUUCCUUGGAGGCAAAGGUGGGAUAUAAAUGCAAUAUAGAAGUAAAAUAAUAAUAAAUGAAAACUGAGUGUUCCAGGAACUGUUCAUGUUCUCACCUUUGGAGUGAACAGUCCGUGAUGUCACAGAACCCAAGCUUCUCAGUGGAGCAUCCAGAACAGGAUGUUCCAGGAGCAAACAUAUUCCUACAUCUUAAGGGAAUAGCUGUAGCUCAGUGGUUGAGCAUGCAGAAGGUCCCAGGUUCAAUCCCCAGCAGCAAUUCCAGGCAGAGCUGGGAAAUAUUCCCUGCCUGAAACCAUGGAGAGUCACUGUCUGUCAAUGGCCACAUCCGCUGAACAUCUCAGCUGGUUAGAGCAUGGUGCUGAUAACACCAAGGUCACAGGUUCAAUUCCUGUAUGGGACAGCUGCAUAUUCCUGCAUCGCAGGGGGUUGGGUUAGAAUUCAGUGGUUCUCAACCUGUGGGUCCCCAGAUGUUGUCGGGCUACAACUCCCAUCACUCCUGAGCUCUGGCCUUGCUAGCUAGGGAUGAUGGGAGUUGUAGUUCAACAACAACUGGUGUGAUAGAAAUUUUAAGGUCUUAGAUAUAUGUUAAAUGUUCAUAAGUGUACCAACCAAGCACGUACAUAGAUCAGCACAGGAAGACUGACCUGAAACCAUUUUUGAUUCCCAAACUGUCCAAAUGUUUUCUCUGCAAAGUCAAAGGAAAAUGGAAAAGCCUCCCCAUUGUCUUUUCCUUCACAAAUCCUGUCUUAAGGGCACAUUUAAGAUAAGUAGUUAUCAUUACAAAAGACUGGCCAGGCUCCCCAGGCAAUCCAAUCAAGUGACCAUAAAACAGGUAACCUGGCAGACAGGAGGUAAACAAAGCACUCAGAUUUCUGCUGUAGACCGCCCUUUAUGUAAUGUAGGUAUGAUGUAUCUGGGAGGGGGGUGGUUUUGAGCUACACCCCUUCUGUGAUGUAUGUUUCUGGGGGUGGUCUUGGACUCCAGGGAGGGAACUUAAAAUGUCUAUAUAAGGGCAGGCAAACUUUUGUUCUGGGUUCCUCCUCCCUCCUGCAUGUGGUGAGGACCCUGUUGCAACAGAUCAAUAAAGAUCAGUCUUACUAGCUGCUUUGUUUCUCAAUAUUUUCUAGUUGGCCUCUAUUAUUUUCUCCUACCAAUAGGGAACCUACAUAAGGACUCUAUAUGGGCUCUUGAAUACCCCAUAAGGGAAAAAGGGCCAAUUUUUGUUUACAACACUGGGGACCCACAGGUUGAGAAAGGCUGGGUUAGAUGAUCCUCAGGGUCCCUUCCAACUCUAUGAUUCUGUGCUUAGAACUGAACUGGGUGGACACGAUGAUCUGACUAGGCAUAAGACAGCCUCGUGCAUCCCUACCGAGCUAGCAAUCGUGGGCAGAUUUUGACCAGACAUCACCCACACCGAUCCCUCUCCUACCUUACUGAUGCUGAUCCAGCACCAGUACAGAAGGGAUUACACACAGCAAUUAUCCCUGAUGAAUCUUUAGCGCUGGCACCCGACUACCUCCAUAUGUUCAUAGUGCACAUGUUGGAAGCAUCAGGGCUGUGAUCUAUCUUUCCAUCCUCACUCUCAUUUGGGGGGGGCUGAAGACGGAGCACUCUCCAAACACCAGACUCCCAGCAGAGUUUUAACUUUGUGUCCUAGCAUGCUUUUGAGCCAGCACGACGGAACCGAAUUUGCAUUGUGCCAUUUUUCUUAAUUAUACCCUCCAUGUCGGUGCUUAAUUGGAGCUUAAUCAGGGGGAAAGCGCCCGGCAAGAGCUUCGUUAGGGGAAACAAGUGCUCACAAUUCUUUCUUUAAAGCCUUAAACGGCCUCGGUCCAGUGUACCUGAAGGAGCGUCUCCACCCCAUUGUUCAGCCCAGACACUGAGGUCUGGCUCCCUCCCUGCGAGAAAUGAGGUAACAGGAAACCAGACAGAGGGACUUCUCAGUAGUGGCGCCCACCCUGUGGAACAGCCUCCCAUCAGAUGUCAAGGAAAUAAACAACUCUCUGAAUUUUAGAAAACACCUGAAGGCAACCCUCUUUAGGGAUGUUUUUAAUGUUUGAUAUUUUAUCGUGUUUUUAAUAUUCUGCUGGGAGCCACCCAGGGUGGCUGGGGAAACCCAACUAGAUGGGCAGGGUAUAAAUAUUAUUAUUAUUAUUAUUAUUUCUUCUUCAUGGGCUGAACUCUACAGAAAGAGGUGUCCAGGACUCCCCCCCCCAAAAAAAAAACAUUUGCCAUUGACGUUAGAAAUGGGCUAGACUUCUCACCUUCCAGGAUUCAGGGCAAAGGGUGAUUAGAACUAAGACCUUCAUAUAAGGAAAGCCUACUGGGUUGGGUCAAUGGUCCAUCUAGUCCAGCAUGGUGUUCACUCAGUUGCCAUACAGAUGCUUGUGGGCUUCCCAUAAUGGACAUCUGGUUGGCCACAGUGAGAACAGGAUGCUGGACUAGAGAGGCCAUUGGUCUGAUCCUGCAGGCUCUUCGUAUGUCUUAUGCUCUCUUUGGAGCAACCCAUGGCUGUGUUUUGUUUUUUGUUUUUUUUAAAUAGUAUUUAUUACUUUUCCAAAAAAAUUAAACACUAAAAGAAAAGAAAAAAAACAUACAAUACAAUACAUUAAACUAACAAAACAAUGCAACAACAAUAAAAUAAAUCAAAUUUCAUUCAAUAUCUUAUAUUUCAUUUACUUAUUUCCAGCGACUUCCUCACACCUCCCUUUUUGUAUUCCACUUCUAUUAUUUGUUUCAGCAAUUCCUUUCCAUCUUACUCUGUUUUCUGUUCUAUAAUUAUCUUAACACAUUCUUGCCAUACUUUUCCUUUAAUUUUCUAUUAAUCUAUUUAUACUUAAUUCCUUAUGACAUUUCUACUAAAGCCAUGUAAUUUCAUUCCAACAUUUUUCUAACAUUCCUUAAUUUUACAAUAUUUCUAUAAAUAAUCUUUAAACUUUUUCCAAUCUUCUUCCACCGACUCUUCACCCUGGUCUUGGAUCUUGCCAGUCAUUUCCGCCAAUUCCCUAUAGUCCAUCAACUUCGUCUGCCAUUGUCCAACACUUCAGUGUUUUCAAGAAGCAACCAUUCUCUCAACCAGCAAAAGGCAGAUGGUUCACAAUGAAGUUUAAAGGUCUGGCAGGUCAGGUCCACCUCCUUCUUUUAGCAUCCAUCAAUAUCUUAAGUUUGACUCGAGGCUUCCUGCCAUUGCUAGGAUCGUCAUCAUCAUCAUCAUCCCUGCUUAUCAUGUCAUGUCUGCGGUGGGACAUUGUCAGGGACUGGACUGAAGGGGACAAGAUUGAGGAGGAGGAAUGGUGGAGAUCACCCCCCUCUUCUCCUGAUGCUUCCAGAGAAGAGGAAGGCAGUAUUGAAUUACAGCAGUGGUUUGAGGAAGAUCACAGAGCAGAGACAGGUGAACAGAAGAGCUGGGAGGUGUUGGGAGAAGAGAAGGGGGAGACAGAGGAGACAGAGACAGCACAGCCAGCUGACAUGUUAUCACUGGAGAGUAUUUCUGACCCCCCUUCUCCCAGAACUUGGCGUUCAUUGAGGUUGCAAGAGCAAAGGGCUGAAGAGACAAUUAGCCCCUGGUGGCCACCAUAAGAAGUUCUGUUGGUAGGAAGGGAGGUGGGAGGAGCUUAGUUGGAGCAACACCAUUAAUGGGAGGCAGACUGCAUUCCUUGUCUCUCACUG
rnacentral:lncRNA from 1 species